CGAACGCUGGCGGCAGGCCUAACACAUGCAAGUCGAGCGAGCAUUUCGGUGCUAGCGGCGGACGGGUGAGUAACGCGUGGGAACGUGCCCUUUUCUGCGGAAUAGUCCUGGGAAACUGGGGGUAAUACCGCAUACGCCCUUUUGGGGAAAGAUUUAUCGGAGAAGGAUCGGCCCGCGUUGGAUUAGGUAGUUGGUGGGGUAAUGGCCCACCAAGCCGACGAUCCAUAGCUGGUUUGAGAGGAUGAUCAGCCACACUGGGACUGAGACACGGCCCAGACUCCUACGGGAAGCAGCAGUGGGGAAUCUUAGACAAUGGGGGCAACCCUGAUCUAGCCAUGCCGCGUGAGUGAUGAAGGCCUUAGGGUUGUAAAGCUCUUUCAGCUGGGAAGAUAAUGACGGUACCAGCAGAAGAAGCCCCGGCUAACUCCGUG
rnacentral:rRNA from 1 species